AUGCUCCUUGUAGUUUAUUCAAGAUGCCCUAAGCCCCCGACUGAUGAUUGUAUCAUGCAUAUCUGGUGGAGACCCCAAAAUCAUUUAUGCCAAGCAAGCGGUGUUGAUACUCAUUUAUACCAAGCGAGCGAGCUGGUGAUCUCAUAUGUGCACUGCAAGAUUUCUGGGAAAUUGGUUCAGCUGGCUUUUGGUGAUAGGAGGUCUGUCAUGUACCGAAAGCGCCUUGUUGUAACUUUAAAAGAGUUAAUGAUCAUCAACCCACUAAUGUGCUUGUAUUCUGUAUUCCGGUACAGUAUGUUACAAGAUUUUAAUGUUUGGAAUGCAUUUACGAAGUGGUCUGUUUGUUACCUGACGCAUUAUAUUUGCUCACCUUUGUGGUAA
rnacentral:rRNA from 1 species